UGAUUUAAAAUGUCCAGGUGGUUGACAAUUAACAGUGCAAAAAUGUUUGAAAACAUUGUGGCAGAGUUUUCAGUGGCAAAAAGAUUGGACUACUAAUUGUAGAGAGCUGGGUGUCGCUGGCAGCUGGGCACUUCAGAGUAGAAAGACAAGAGGAUGACCUUUGUUCAAGAUUCUGCAACAGGGGGUACAGUAAUCAAUUUUUGAAACAUGCCUACAACAAAGCUAGGAAGAUACCACGUCAACAACUUUUACAGCCUUCACAGGACUUUGCCACACAUGAUAAGGUUUUAACUGCCCUUACUAUUUACGUACGCAGAGAUUGACGGGGAGUCCAUUGGCUGGGAAAGGGAGACUACCCUCUGUUGACCACUUUUGCCUCAGCAUGACUAUGAGACGAGAGCGAGAAAAAAAUGAAUACAUUGAAUAGAACAAGUUCUGAAGAAGCAACUGCACAGUGGAAAUUGAUAAACUAGCUCUCAGGCUCUAUAGAUUUUCUAUUUUCUUUCCUAGUGUAAUAUAAUAAACUGAUAAAUAAGUGUCUGUAAGAUGAGGGAGGAGGACAACACAGUUAUUUAUUUGUAUUGCUGGGAAUGCUUCCAUUAAAGCAUAAAAGGCAUAUGCGGCAUCUAUUGCUUUAGUACGCUCAGACUGAUAUAAAGAAUCUCCACACUAAACUGCAGAUGGAACUGAAAGUAGGGAAAAACCUUAAAAGAAUCCUUGAUUCAUAGUACACUGGGCAUAGUCAUUUUCUUAUUUUAUCCUUAUUGUAUUCUCUGCCUGCAAAAUUUUCCUUGAGGUUUUUUUUUUUUCUUGCGCAGAACUCUAUUAUUCAUUGACACUAUCUUUCUUCAUUUAACAUCUCAAUAAAUGUGUCUGGCAAUCCAAUUGUAUCUUGCACAGGAAAACAGGAAAUUAAAUAUUACUAAAGCUAUGUUUGUGCAUGGAAAGGGUAGAAGAGGUUGUCUGGAAACAAAUACAAUGGAUGUUAACCAGUGAGACCCUAUGUGGUAUCUAGAAAGUUUUAGCAAUACUGAAAAUAAGCUGAAAGAAAUGACUCACAAAAUAUUAGGUGAUAAAACUAGAAAUUUGAACUGCAAUUGCUUAUUACAAAUGACCUUUUCUUGGUUGGCUUUUCCU